ACUUGCCCAUACCAGCCAACAUGUCCCAGCUACACCAGUAGAAACAUGGAAAAUAGGUGCAGGAUGAGGCCAUUCGGCCCUUCGAGCCAGCACCGUUCGCCAUUCAUUGUGAUCAUGGCUGAUCGUCCCCUAUCAAUAACCCGUGCCUGCCUUCUCCCCAUAUCCCUUGAUUCCACUAGUCCCUGGAGCUCUAUCUAACUCUCUCUUAAAUCCAUCCAGUGACUUGGCCUCCACUGCCCUCUGUGGCAGGGAAUUCCACAGAUUCACACAACUCUCUGGGUGGAAAAGUUUCUCCUCAUCUCAGUCCCAAAUGGCCACAGAUUCACACAACUCUCUGGGUGGAAAAGUUUCUCCUCACCACAGUCCCAAAUGGCCACAGAUUCACACAACUCUCUGGGUGGAAAAGUUUCUCCUCACCUCAGUCUUAAAUGGCCUCCCCUUUAUUCUAAGACUGUGUGUGUGGCCCCUGGUUCUGGACUCGCCCAACAUUGGGAACAUUUUUCCUGCAUCUAGCUUGUCCAGUCCUUUUAUAAUUUUAUAUCUAACUAUCUAACUAUCCCACCUGUUCGCGUUCCCUCCAAACCUGUCCUACACAUAUACCUGUCCAAGACUUGUUUGGAUAGUCCCUGACUCGGCGGGCCGAAGGGCCUGUUUCCGCGCUGUAUCUCUUCAACUGAACUAACCUAUAAGUUGACGUUGUUUCCUGUAUGUAUUUAUUUAGGCCGAAAGCCGAACCUGGGACGAAAUACGAAGCGAACAGGAGUCCAAGGGGACAGACUGCCUCGGCCACAGAUGCCGAGGACGGAAUGGCAAACUAUGAGAAUAUCCCGGGUAAAGAUCAGGGAGCCACUCACGCACCAGAGGGAGACCCCACCUAUAUGGGUCUGAAGCUGGAAGAUCGAUCAGUAUACAGUGAACUACGGAGGUAGCCGGGCCGGCCCAUUGAUCAGCUCGUUAUAUCAACAAGGCUCACAAGGUCACAAUUUCACAAGUUAUUGGAGUAGAAUUAGGCCAUUCGGCCCAUCGAGUCUACUCCGCCAUUCAUUCAUGGCUGAUCUCUGCCUCCCAAUCCCAUUUUCCUGCCUUCUCCCCAUGUAUUGUGUUUUUAAAACAAUAUAUAAAUUAUGAUGUUUUUAUAAAUGAUAUACCAAGAUUUUAUAUGUAUGUGUUUUGUGAUAUUUCGGGAUUUCAUUCCACUUUUAUGCUGAUGACAGUCAGCUUUAUGUGACUCUUGGAAAGGGGGGUGUACACUCUGUCGGGCUCUUGCUUGAGUGUCUUAGUGACAUAAAGGCCUGGAUGUCACUGAACUUUUUAAAAUUUAAUGAUGACAAGACGGAGGUAAUGAUCUUUGGUGGCACCUCUGGGCCCCCCCUGUUGAUCUAGGCUCUUUGUCUGCAUAUCUCAAACCUAACAUCACGAACCUGGGGAUUAAAGUGGACCCUGAGCUUAGAUUUGACUGUCAGGUGAGGGCUGUUGUUAAAUCUGUUUUUUUCCAUCUGAGGCAGCUGGCAAAAAUAAAGCCGAUUUUGUCGAGGCAGCACUUUGAGACGGUAAUCCACGCCUUUGUUACCACCCGGCUGGAUUACUGCAAUGCACUGUAUCUGGGGGUUAGUCGGUCCUCCAUCGCCCGUCUCCAGAUGGUACAGAAUGCAGCUGUUCGUCUCUUGACUGGCACACGAAAGCAUGAUCAUGUUUCACACCUUUUGGCCUCUCUCCACUGGCUGCCUGUUCAGUAUAGGAUUCGUUUUAAAAUUAUUUUAUUUACUUUUAAAUCCCGAAAUGGUUUGGAAGGGUUCAUCAAUACCAACGCUUAAAAUGUGGAUUGCAAGUAUGUUGGACACCGCUCAUCUUGAGGAAAUGCGAUUCCUCCUAAUGGAUAAAUCAGACCAAUUCAUAACGAGUUGGUCUCCAUUCGUCGUUUUUUUGGAAUCAUAUGGUGCAACCCAAUUGUAAAAAAUAACUGUUCAGAUUCAGAUUCAAUUUUAAUUGUCAUUGUCAGUGUACAGUACAGAGACAACGAAAUGCAUUUCAGGACUGGACGAGGGUUGGUCAAGACUAUAAAUAAUGAUCUCCUUUUCUUUUCACUAUUUUCUCUCUCAACUUUCUUCAUUUACUCGUUUUCUUUCUUCACACACUAUAUAUUUCACAUCUUUCUAUCCUUUACUAUCUAACUUCUUUUUCUUAUUCUCAUCUUUUUUCAAUGUAACAAAAAAAAAAAAGUUGUACAUAAAAUGUAUUAUGAAAAUAUAUAUUAGGCACUUUGGUGCCAUAUGACUGUACUUACUUCUAAUAAAAUAAAAUAUAAAAAAUAAAAUAUAAAUCCCUAAGUGGUCUUGCCCCGUCCUACCUAUCUGAGCUUCUUCACCCUUAUACACCCUCCCGCUCUCUCAGGUCAGAUGAUCAGCUGCUCCUGAUUGAGCCAAAGACUAAGCGGAAGCUCAGAGGGGACCGUGCCUUUGCUGUGUCGGCUCCGAGAUUGUGGAAUGAAUUGCCUCUGCACGUUAAACAGGCCCCUUCUCUAGCUGUUUUUAAGUCGCUCCUGAAGACAUAUCUAUUCUCCGUGGCCUUUGUAGACCAGUGAGGUGUUGAAUUGUUUAUUUACUUUAUUUGCUUGGUUUUGCUGCGUGGUUUGUACUCGUGUUUUAUGUAUUUUAAUUUGUUGUUUGGAUUUUCGUAUGUAAUUUAUGCGCCUCGUGUUAGCUGUAUGUUCUGUUGUUCUGCCUGUUUUAUGAUGUCUUGCUUAUUUUCUUUUUUUUCUGUACAGCACUUUGGUCAGCUUUGGUUGUUUUUUAAGGUGCUUAACAAAUAAAGAUAUUAUUAU